UACGUAGGGGGCAAGCGUUGUCCGGAAUCAUUGGGCGUAAAGCGCGUGUAGGCGGCCAGAUAAGUCCGCUGUGAAAACUCGAGGCUCAACUUCGAGCUGUCGGUGGAAACUUUCUGGCUAGAGUCCGGAAGAGGAGAAUGGAAUUCCUGGUGUAGCGGUGAAAUGCGCAGAUAUCAGGAAGAACACCCGUGGCGAAGGCGGUUCUCUGGGACGGUACUGACGCUGAGAUACGAAAGCGUGGGGAGCAAACAGG
rnacentral:rRNA from 1 species